rnacentral:sRNA from 1 species
AAUUAAUAAAAAAAUUGUUGAGAUAAAGAAGAUGAACCCAAGAACAAAGAAUUAUUGAGAACGUACAUUGCUGCUGAAGAAGUGUUGAUCUUGUUUUUGUACCAAGUUUGGAGCCAAAACAAGCAUUGCUCGUGUAAGUAAUGAAGUUCUUUUAAGAAGUUUUUUGUUAUGUCAUAUUAGGAUCUUGAUUGUGUUCGAACUCCAUUUUUUUAUCAUAA